AGCUGUCUGUGAGCGGGAGGCCUGAGCGCAGAGAAGCGGCCGCGCGGCAGGGUCCCAGCCGCGGGGGGCACGGCGCUAUGGAGGAGCUCGACUGCGAGCCCGCAGUAACUGUAAGGGCGAUCGGAGUGGAGUGGCUUGGCUUGUUGCACUGUGAGGGUUACGUUUCUUUGGUCAUUUCAGGCUGCCUCCCUACAUGCGGGACGCACGCUUCUUCCCUGGACACAGUUGCCACCAUCCCGAAUGUCAGGUUAACUGGGAACUAGGUUAUGGCAAUAGUGGUCCCUAGGUCCUGUGAAUACUGGCCGGCUCGCGGAAACCCCACUGCAUCACCCUUGUUUUUAUAACCUUUCUGCUUCUCUAGUUUUCCCCCCUUGGGCGUUAGAAUGAGAUUGGUGUAAGCCCCACAUGGUCACUCCAAGGGAUGAGUUGGCCUUUCCCUGUCCUGCUGUCCUAGUCCGAGGCUUAAUAAAUGCAUAAUUUGUUCUCACGGGAGACAAUAGACUAGUUUCUGUCGCGUUGUAUUCUAUUCCUCUUGCACCUAGAAAAUGUUUUUUUAAGUGUGUAUAUGUCUGAAUAUGUGCACAGCAUCAUUGGAUACGACCUAGGCUGUUCGCCUGGUGUAUGGUGUUCGCAGUUACACUUGGAAGUUGAAUGGACAGUUGUAGGGCUAACAGCUCCUGUGCCUCCUUAUGUCUUACUAGUGGAUUCCAGGUGUGAAUUCCAAGAAGAAGCAAAUGUGUUUUGACUGGGGCCCCGGCGAGAUGCUUCUGUGUGAAACUUCCUUCAACCAAACAGGUAGGCAGUUCUUUUUCACAUCUGUCUUGGCACAUUGGUUGACUCUCUGAGGCAGGAAACUGGAGUUAUUUGGCAAUAUUUUUAUUUUUGAAACUUUGUUUUUUUGCUAUUUUGAGACAAGUUGCCCCUAUGUAGUCCUAGUGGGCUUGUCUUUGUGCAAUCUUUGUGUAGGUUUGAAUUCUACAUCUUCUUCCCUCGACUUCCAGAGUGCUGGGACUUGAGGUGUGUGGUUCAACACUUGACAUUAAGUAAUUUUUAAAUUUUAUAGUCUGUGUAUGGGCAUUUUGUCUACGUGCAUAACUGUGCACCACUCCGUGCUUGGUGCCGCAGAGGCCAAAUGAGAUCAUUGGAUUCUAGGAACUAGAACUCUAUAUUUAUGUGAGUUGCCAUAUGGGGUGUUGGGAGUUGAACUUAGGUCUUCUGGAAGAGCUGCCUGUGUACUUCUUGUUUGGUUUUGGUUUUUUGAGAUGGUUUCUCCGUGUAGCCUGGCUGUCCUGGUACUUGGUUUAGACCAAGCUGGCUUUGAACUCAGAAAUUACUUGCUCUUUUUUCCUGAGUGUUAGGAUUAAAGGCAGGAAAUUUCAGCCAGUUGUCUUAGACGCCAAACCAUCUCUUCAGCCCCCUUCCUAUAAUUAACCUUUAGAAACGACCCAUAUAGCCCAGGUGUGGAGAUACGCACCUUUUAAUCCCAGCACUCAGGAGACAGAGAGGCAGGUGGUUCUGUGAGUUCACAGCCUGCCUGAUCUACAGAAUGAGUUUUAGGUCAACCAGGGCUACACAGAGAAAUCUUGUCUUGAGAAACCCAACAAAAACAAGCCCAAAGAAGUGAGUUAGACUGCCUCAGCUGAAGGCAAAGUCCUGGGUUCAGGCAACGCUCGCUUGCAACCUUAGAUUUUCUACUGUGCAGAAGAGUUGGCGGGGGGAAUAGAGAGUCCCCAGCUGCCUGGGAUAUGUUGCCAGACCCAUUCUCAAAAACCAAGGAUGUAGGCUAUCACUCAGUGGCUCAGUGAUAACUUCUUUAGCAUGGGCAGUGUCCUUAAUUAGAUCAUCAAUAUCACCAAAAAAGAAGUCUGUGUUGUGCUGCCUGCUUGUAUUGUAAUCUCAGCCUACACAGACCAGAUGAAGACAAAUCUUUUUUUCUUUUGGCGUAAACCUGGUUUGCUUGGCCGACUGUGUGCACUAGUCUUCCCUUGAGUUUUAAUCCUCCCGUCUCAUUCCCACCGGUGGAGAAAGUGGACAUGUGCCCCAGGCUCAGCCGGGCUUUGUAAUUAGAGAAUUAGAAGUACUGGGAUGUUUUUCUCUUUUGGGGAAAAUGGUAGAUGUUGAGUUACUUUUUUUCCUGUUUUGUUACAGGCAAAUCAGAGAAGGUGCCGAGCUGCCCUUUUAUCUACAUCAUACGGAAAGAUGUGGAUGUUUACUCUCAAAUUUUGAGAAAACUCUUCAAUGAAUCCCAUGGAAUCUUUGUUGGCCUGCAAAAAAUUGAGGAAGAACUGUCGGGGAAGUCCAGGAAAGCUCAGUAAGUGGUGGGUGCUGAGGCUGCAGUGAAGUCGUGAGAGGGAGGCGUCCUUAUCCUUGUGAGUGCCGGGGCACCUCGGGGUUCCUGUUCUCCUGUGUAUCUUCUUAGGGUGUAGUUGUGCAUUGUGUAAAUGCUGUUGGAAGACUUACUGGCUUGAUAUAUAUGUAUCAACUCUUCCUUUUGGAUUCCUACUUCAUUUGUAUGUGUCCCUUGAACACCACCACCGACC
rnacentral:lncRNA from 1 species